UACGGAACAGGGUUGAGGUAAACUUCGUGGGUAACCUGGCCAUCAAGAAGGGGAUAACGGUUGGAAACAGGUGCUAAUACCUGUAUAACACUAUUUUCCGCAUGGAAGAAAGUUGAAAGGCGCUUUUGCGUCACUGAUGGAUGGACCCGCGGUGCAUUAGCUAGUUGGUGAGGUAACGGCUCACCAAGGCAACGAUGCAUAGCCGACCUGAGAGGGUGAUCGGCCACACUGGGACUGAGACACGGCCCAGACUCCUACGGGAGGCAACACUAGGGAAUCUUCGGCAAUGGACAAAAGUCUGACCGACCAACGCCGCGUGAGUGAAGAAGGUUUUCGGAUCGUAAAACUCUGUUGUUAGAGAACAACAAGGAUGAGAGUAAAAUGUUCAUCCCUUGACGGUAUCUAACCAGAAAGCCACGGCUAACUACGUGCCAGCAGCCGCGGUAAUACGUAGGUGGCAAGCGUUGUCCGGAUUUAUUGGGCGUAAAGCGAGCGCAGGCGGUUUCUUAAGUCUGAUGUGAAAGCCCCCGGCUCAACCGGGGAGGGUCAUUGGAAACUGGGAGACUUGAAUGCAAAAGAGGAGAGUGGAAUUCCAUGUGUAGCGGUGAAAUGCGUAAAUAUAUGGAGGAACACCAGUGGCGAAGGCGGCUCUCUGGUCUGUAACUGACGCUGAGGCUCGAAAGCGUGCGGAGCGAACAGGAUUAGAUACCCUGGUAGUCCACGCCGUAAACGAUGAGUGCUAAGUGUUGGACGGUUUCCGCCCUUCAGUGCUGCAGCAAACGCUUUAAGCACUCCGCC
rnacentral:rRNA from 1 species